rnacentral:rRNA from 1 species
AAAAACAUUGUCAAAGGGUUCACCAAUCUCUGAUAACUCUGCCCAGUGAAAAUUUUUAACGGCCGCGGUACUCUGACCGUGCGAAGGUAGCACAAUAAUGAGCCUCCUAAUUAGGGGAUAGAAUGAAUGAACCAACAAGAAAAAAACUGUCUCUUUGAAUUUAACUCAAAUCUUAUCUCUAGGUGAAAAAGCCUAUAUUAACUACAAAGACAAAAAGACCCUAAAAGCUUAUAUAAAUAUCUCUAAAACGAACAGAUCUUAUUUGGUUGGGGCGACUUCAAGAAUCAAACACUUGAAAUAUAUAAAGGCAAUUACCUUUACCCAAGUAGCCCAAAACACUAAAGCAAGUUACUUUAGGGAUAACAGGCCAGUACUUCUUUAGAGUACAUAUCGACAGAAGUGCUCGGCACCUCGAUGUUGGCUUUGGGAUCCAGAUCCAUGCAGAAGUGAAUCAAAGGAGGUUUGUUCAACCUUUAAUCCCCUACAUGAUCUGA